UGGGUUUGUCCUAAGCCAAACUUCUCCAUGUUUGACAAACUUAAUAGAAAAGUUCAGCAGCAUUUCCAACACAAAACAAAUAUAAUAUAAAAAUAUAUUCAAUGGACUUAAUGAAACUAAUUAGAUGCUGUAGAUGUUGCUAUGUUUUUCUAUAAGCUUGGUCAAACUUGAAGAAGUUUGACUUAGGACAAACCCAA
rfam:Oryza sativa (indica cultivar-group) chromosome 11, whole genome shotgun sequence.